GUAUCUGUGUUGUAAAGGCUAGCAUCAGAGACUGUGAAUCUCUGGGUUCGGGUUCGAGUCCCGACACUUACCCCA
rnacentral:tRNA from 1 species